GUCAUCAGUCGCAGCUCGAGUACUGUUCCAAUUCUAAAGUCCGCAUCUGGCCGAGAGCGGUCAUAAUGCCCGGAUGUGACUCGCCCCGCCCAUUUUACCGGGCACGCAUCGGAGCAGGCUCGUCUGUUCUUGUGAGAGCCAAAUAUCCCAGAAUGCAUUUCACCUCAGCAACGGCAGAGGAAAAGAAACACUACUGCAGGUCAAAGUUUAUAAAUACUACGAUAUUCAGGUCACAGAAUGUAAUUUGGGACUUUUUUAGACGAGAAGUUAGUUGUUUAAGCAGCAUUUCUGCGGUGGGUUUGUCAACAUUCAGCCUUUGUAAUAAUUUGCUCUGAGGAUGUCGGAGAUGUGAGGUCUAGUUAACGGGACCGUCAGACUCCAGGGCCCUGUUCCUCCUACAUGGUUAACUGAGUUAGGCGGAUAAUCUUCAGGAUGAGAUGACGUAGAUCAGGCUUUUCGUUUCCCUGAAGCAGGUUUGUGUCGUGCGAGCAAAACAAGGACUAGACUGGAGACUUAAAUCAAAAUAGUAUGACAAAGGUUAUUUGCAACAAGGGUAUUCUGUCCUGCAGUUAUACGUGCACGGACCUAUUCCAGGCAGUUUAACAAAAUGAAAAAAGGAGCUUAAUACAAGAUGCGCUCGAAUUAUCUAGUCUCUAAGAGCAUUUUUGAUUGGUUAUUAAGAUGGAGUAUUCUUAGAUCCCUCGGAGAGCCUCAUUGGAGCACAGGGAUGUCCAUCCCUCUAGGCUCUCGGAUCAACACGCCUCCCGUUGUUCAUGAGUUCUACAUAUCAGGAUGUUUGCAAGAUGAUUUGCAUAUGAGUGGUAGGCACAGUUCUAGGUAUGGACAUGUUACUCUUAGAAUGGGGAACAGCUGGUUCCUGUUGAACUGCCUUUGACACAGAUAGUGCUGCAUCUUUUGCAACAUGUUCGUGUGCUGCUGUUGUUGAAAUACAUGUUGUUAUUGCAAUCUGGCCUUUAAGCGUCCUUCACCCAUUAUUACUAUGCAUCUAUAGUUCAGUGAUGAACACCACACGCUGUAGCAGAACAUCCACUGUCCCGCAGACCGUCUCAUAUACUGUCCCACGCACGUCUCUCAUACUGUCUCACACACUGUCUCUCAUACUGUCUCACACACUGUCUC
ensembl:lncRNA